rnacentral:rRNA from 1 species
UACGUAGGGCGCAAGCGUUAUCCGGAAUUAUUGGGCGUAAAGAGCUGCGUGAGCGGUUUGUCGCGUCUGCCGUGAAAGUCCGGGGCUCAACUCCGGAUCUGCGGUGGGUACGGGCAGACUAGAGUGAUGUAGGGGAGACUGGAAUUCCUGGUGUAGCGGUGAAAUGCGCAGAUAUCAGGAGGAACACCGAUGGCGAAGGCAGGUCUCUGGGCAUUAACUGACGCUGAGGAGCGAAAGCAUGGGGAGCGAACAGG